UACGGGGGGGGCAAGCGUUGUUCGGAAUUACUGGGCGUAAAGGGCGCGUAGGCGGCUCGCUAAGUCGGAUGUGAAAACUCUGGGCUCAACCCAGAGCCUGCAUUCGAAACUGACGAGCUCGAGUUCUGGAGGGGAAAGCGGAAUUCCUGGUGUAGCGGUGAAAUGCGUAGAUAUCAGGAGGAACACCGGUGGCGAAGGCGGCAUCCUGGACCGAGAUUGACGCUGAUGCGCGAAAGCCAGGGGAGCAAACGGG
rnacentral:rRNA from 1 species